AGCACUGGAAACAGAGACAGAGGAGAACCAAGACAAUGAAGUCUCAUUCUAGAGAUCAACAGUUUCAACGGUUGCAGAGUGGAGACUGGGAGCCAGACUAUAAAGAGUUGAACAAAGAAUGAGAGAAGAGGCAAUUAUAUAUAGACUAUUUUCUCAAGGACUUAAGCCACAAAGACAAGCUGGCUAGGACAAAACCUAGUAGGAAAGCUAGUAGGGAAAUCAAAUAAACAUUUUCAAGACAUUAGAGAAUAUAACACAUUUUUCAAUACAGGGGAACUAUACUAAGGCGAAAGAGAUUUCAUGUAUGGAUAAAAUGGUGGGUCAAGAAAGAGAUAAGGAAAGCAAGUCAGAGGUUUCUCCCAGGGGACAAUGUAGCAGGAAAGAAGAAAGAAAAUGGAGGAGAAAAAAUCUGGAAAGUGAGUCCAGACAUAGCCUGAAACACCUCUGUUUGCCACAGAAGAAACAAAGAUAGGUGUCACCCAGAAGGCACAUGAGUUCUAUAUUGAUAAGAGUUCCACAUACUAGUAAAACCGCAGCAAGAACAAUCAAGAGCUGGAAGGGAAUGAGCCCAAGAGACUUGCCCAGGUCAUGGAGUCAUCAAUGUCAGAGAUAACACUAAAAUUCACAUGCUUUAUCUCCCAACCCUAUAUUAAGAAAAGACUGAUAAAAAAUUAUUUUUGUUCUUUAUAUUUA